UACUAAUGACAAACACGUUGUACGGACAAACCCUUAAAUCCCUCAAUGUUAUGUCAAAUGAAUUAUAGCGAGGAAAGGCAAAUUUAAUUUAAUAUCAAAACUAAAUAUUUGUUAUAUUUCGCUCCUGAUUUCUCAAGAAAUCAUAGAAUCAAUAAAUGUAUAAAUUUUAAUUAUGCAUGUCUGUGUGAGAUCCAUUUCAUGAGACCAAGGAUUUCUAUAAAAUCCUUGAUGGGACCCUUUAUAUAUACAGUUUUCUAUUUUCCCCGGAAAUUUUUUUACAAAAAUAUAAUCUUUUGGGAAAUAAUCCGAUUUUGUUGAAUUAUUUCCCUUCAUAAUUACGAUAUAUCCUUUUAGUUCUUCAAUUUUAAAUUAAAAUAAAUAUUUCAUUUUGAUCUAACGACAAACUUUUUAAAUUGUAGUGGCAUGGUCAGUCAACUGAUUAGUUGCAUGGCUGAUUACCAGUUUACUGGCGACCCAGUAAUUUUCCAUAUAACAGUGGCGUGUACCCUUGGGGUCUUCUUCUGACCGGCAAUCAUGUGAUAACCUUAGCAGUAAUGAAAAUGGAACGUCCAGUGGGCUGUGCUCAGCCACGUCCGAAUGGGGACGUUGAAUUCUUGCAACAACUCUUCGAGUGGACUGUAAGUAGCCUGGUAUUAGGCCAAUUUUCUGUCCCUCCUUUUUCAUAGGCAGUCGAAAUUUUCCGACCGUAUCACGGGCGGUCUCAAUUACAAGACCUACAUGUACCUAUCAUAUAUUAUUCGGUACGCCAGACACACCCGACAUUAAUCAACCAAAAACUCAAUAUUUUACAGUAGGGAAUGAAUAUCUCCCACGUUCACUUGUCCCUUGAAGGAUCAAUAUUGAAUUUCUUCCAAUCGCCCCCCCCCCCCCUUUUUUUAUAAGAUUACAUUAUGGCGUAUGUUUUUUUUUUAAUUUUACGAAAGACCAACAAAUCGAUUUUUAUCACCAAAUUUGUCUUUGCUGAGAUAACACUAAAACGUAACGAUUGAAAACUCACAGUUCAGUUUUUAAGAUAUUUUUUUCUUUGGAAACUAACAGACUAAUUUUCAAAAAGUUUUUUCUUGAACCAUUAUUUAUUAAAACGAAUUUGUAAACAAAAGUUAUUCUUAAAUAUUGAUAAUGAUCAAUGAUUGUAAAGAAAAAUCCAUCAUAGUAGUUUGUUAAUUUACUGGAUCCAUGGUGUUAAACAUGUCACCUUUCUUUUACAAAUAACUGAUUAAAAAUAUGAAGCCUUUACUGUAAAAUAAA